UGGCACUGUCCGGGAGUGCCACGUCUAUGG
rnacentral:sRNA from 1 species